rnacentral:lncRNA from 1 species
GCCACACCCCUUUUCCACACAAUCAAUCUCAUCACAGUUUCACACCGUCGGCUAGGGUUUCAUAAUCUAACCAGAAAAGGGUAAAACUUACGCUUUCCGAUCACCAUGAGAGCCAAGUGGAAGAAGAAGAGAAUGAGGAGAUUGAAGAGGAAGCGCCGAAAGAUGAGGCAGAGAUCUAAGUAAUCUGUUUGUUGCUAAUCAUCAUCGGUAUCGUAUUAGUUUCUGUUUUAUGUUGUUUGUUUGGAUUUCUCCUACUCUUUAGUUGGAUUGUUAUUUGGAUACCGAGAUUAUAAUCAUACCGUUUUAUUUCAUAUGUGUUGUGUUGGUUGUUUACAUUUAUGCAUCAGUAGUUUAUUCAAUCAUAUUCUUUCUUGGAUUAUAAUUCAAUAUGAUGGUAUCACACUCAAGUUUUUCAGAUUCUAUUUGAAUUAUAUAUUUCUGAUAUGUGC